GAAAACGACUCUCGGCAACGGAUAUCUUGGCUCUUGCAUCGAUGAAGAACGUAGCGAAAUGCGAUACUUGGUGUGAAUUGCAGAAUCCCGUGAACCAUCGAGUCUUUGAACGCAAGUUGCGCCUGGAGCCAUUUGGCUGARGGCAUGCCUGCCUGGGUGUCGUG
rnacentral:rRNA from 1 species